rnacentral:rRNA from 1 species
AGUGAACGCUGGCGGUAGGCCUAACACAUGCAAGUCGAACGGCAGCACAGGAGAGCUUGCUCUCUGGGUGGCGAGUGGCGGACGGGUGAGGAAUACAUCGGAAUCUACUCUGUCGUGGGGGAUAACGUAGGGAAACUUACGCUAAUACCGCAUACGACCUACGGGGGAAAGCAGGUGACCUUCGGGCCUUGCGCGAUUGCAUGAGCCGAUGGCGGAUUAGCUGGUUGGCGGGGUAAAGGCCCACCAAGGCGACGAUCAGUAGCUGGUCUGAGAGGAUGAUCAGCCACACUGGAACUGAGACACGGUCCAGACUCCUACGGGAGGCAGCAGUGGGGAAUAUUGGACAAUGGGCGCAAGCCUGAUCCAGCCAUACCGCGUGGGUGAAGAAGGCCUUCGGGUUGUAAAGCCCUUUUGUUGGGAAAGAAAUCCAGCUGGCUAAUACCCGGUUGGGAUGACGGUACCCAAAGAAUAAGCACCGGCUAACUUCGUGCCAGCAGCCGCGGUAA